ensembl:lncRNA
UAAGAGUCGACUAAGAGCUUACAGUAUUAGCUAGCAGUACGUUUGGUAACGGGUUGUUUUGCUGGGUACAGUUGUUACAUACAGAAAACAAUAUUAAGCGCAUUGUAACUAGAUAACUAACCCUAGUAAAACAUUAUAUAGAAAUAUUUAUACACAUACAUACCUAGCAAAUUCACCAGACUAUUGACUGUAUUUCUAAUGGCUUGCUCAACGGAAGGCCCAGGGCCUGGUCUUCUUGAGCAAGAUUAAAUAUAUUAUUUGUAAGUUGAAUGUUUAACUACAGUACCUGCUAUGUUAGAUUUGUGUGGUUUGUAACUUUAUAAGAAUAUUUAUAAUUUGCUAAUUUCCAGGAUUUACCCUAUUUUCAUAGCGUGUUAAAAUUGUCAAAUAGUCAAAGAAAUAAACCAAUAAGUGUGUGGUGGCUGCGUGAAAUGCAACAUUCAUCAUGCAAAUGUAUUAAACAAGAUUAGUUUUAGGUUGUCUGGAUUGUGGGCUUUGGGUAGGAAUAAUUUGGCGGGAAUAACACUACAAUAAACACUGUACCUAGUUGUAUAAAUUGGUUAACCCCUUGUUAUUGAGUUUAACUUGAUUAAUAACUUGUUAAUUACCAUUUAUCUAUAGACACAUUUAUUUGUUAAGCGUAGAAGGGGCAUGGCAAAAAGAUUUUAACAUUUAUUGCUUUACUGCAUUAAUUGAAUAUGUACAUCAUAUGCGAUAGAUGGCUCCAAUACUGUCCUAAAAAGGAAUAUUUUGUCUUUCAUAUCUCCAGUAGAACAGUCGACACUGGUGUGCUGGGAUUAGUGGUAAAUCAGAAUAGUCUAAAAUGUAUUGAUGAAGAAUGGAGCGGGACUAAGAUGCAGCUGCAAGCUGAUACUGGACACAAAGGGAGAAACAUUGUUCAUGGACAACCUGGACAAAGCAGCAAAGAGGGACAUCAAACAGCGGACAAGGUGCAACAAGCAACAGGCUUUGGCUAGUUGGCUGAAAGAACUCUUGGUUGAAGAGAAGUUGCAGGUUGCCGGGGCAACUGAGGACAUGAUGUCUGAUAUGGAGACUGACCUCGGUGGAUUUUUGGUUUCCUCUCCUAGCUGGCGUUCUGCUGAGUUUGAGUUCAUGAUCAAAUUAGCUGACCAGCAAAGGUCACUUCAACUGCUAUUUGUUUUUAGCCUUUCUAUUGGUUCAUUGGAGUGAGGUUAGUAUUCCAUAUUUAUUAUCUAUUGUUACUCCUCAUAAUCUGUACAUUAUGCCAAACAUUUGGCCGCCACUGUCCUUUUGAGAACUUUCUAUUCCUUUAUUGCUGUGUGGGAACCUGCAUGUAGGCAUUUCAACUUUAAACAUAACUAUUUGCACUAUCUUUAAUUACAUUGCUGUUUUUAGUAAUGUGUCCCAAUAUUUAUUUGAUUUGAAUUAAAAUACGUAAUGUUUUUGUAACCCUGUUAAAUUGUAUACUUUAAAGAACGUUCUGUUGCUGCAUCGCUUUGAGGGGACAUACAUUUUCUUGUCG